CCUACGGGUGGCAGCAGUGGGGGAUAUUGCACAAUGGGGGAAACCCUGAUGCAGCGACGUCGCGUGUGGGAAGACGGUCCUCUGGAUUGUAAACCACUGUCCCCAGGGACGAAGAUGACGGUACCUGGGGAGGAAGCUCCGGCUAACUACGUGACAGCAGCCGCGGUAAUACGCAGGGAGCGAGCGUUGUCCGGAUUUACUGGGUGUAAAGGGAGCGUAGGCGGGACUGCAAGUUGGGUGUCAAAUCUACGGGCUCAACCGGUAGCCGCACUCCAAACUGCAGUUCUUGAGUGAAGUAGAGGCAGGCGGAAUGCGUAGUGUAGCGGUGAAAUGCGUAGAUAUUAGGAGGAACACCGGUGGCGAAGGCAGCCUGCUGGGCUUUUACUGACGCUGAGGCUCGAAAGUGUGGGGAGCGAACAGGAUUAGAUACCCGAGUAGUC
rnacentral:rRNA from 1 species